GGUUAAUGUGAGGGUUCCUGAAGGUUAGGGACAAAUGUAAUCGCAUGGCAGGAUGCUGUAAACAAACCAAACUUCAGUCAGGAGAACAACUGAGAUAAUCCAUCCACAAUACGAGGUGAGUCAUUAAUAUACUGCUGCAUGGGCUGGGCUGUAGUUACAUCGUAAGGUUUUAAAAACUGAGCUUUAAAAUGAAUAUUGGUAAUAAAAACGGAGAGAGGUCGACAGUGAUCACUGUUUUUAGGGGCUGUUUGAGAUUAAAUAGAACAAGAUACAAAGCAUUAAAACAUGUUAAAAACACAACAGCCUUAUUAAACGUAGAGUAGUUUGGGCCCGGAAACAGGGUUCAUCACGUCAUCACUUAAAGACCGGAUAGAUCUAAGCUGCUGAAGCCUUCCCAUGAUGCACUGUUUUCACUCACCUCUUUUCACUCUCCUUGUGUUUAUGCACCAUUCUUACACAGGGUAUAUUUUGUUCUGUCUCUCUCCCCUCACAGUACCCCUCCCUGGACCUCGGAUCGCCUGGAGGUUUCUUCUUGUUAAGAAGGGAGUUUUUCCCUCCCGUUGUCGCCAAAGUGCCUGCUCAUAGUGCGUCAUCUGAUGAUGGGGAUUUUCUCUGCAUUAUUGUAGAUACCUUACAAUAUCAACUGAAGAUGCUCUUAGGAGCUUCCUCUGGUUGCGUGAAUAGUCCUUGCAUUGAUUGCUGGAGAUCUGUCAGCAUCAUUUCGUGGUCUCCAAAGCUUUCGACUUAUUUUCAGUAUCAACAGAAAGCAUUAGUCACCACAGUGUACCAGCCGCUUCCAUCACUACUGUACAAUACUUUUUAAAAUAUGAGAACUGAGAAGGCUUCUGCUGUGAACACAUGACUACACGGCUGCCACCGAAGAGCCCAGAAGUCAGAGAUUAAGUGGAUCCGGGCCGCAGAGAUAAGUCGCUGAUGGCAAGAUUGCGGGCCCAUCCAUUUCCAGUGUGUGGCAGGUGACAGGGAGACAUGUUUCAUUCCGCCUCAUGCCGCGUGACGCCCCCACCACCCCCCUCUGUCUAUUCUCUCGCCUCUGUUCUCCUCCCCUUUCUGAACUCCCCCAGCUUUCACUCCUCCAUCACUUUUCCCCUUCUCCUGUCCUGCCUGCCCUCCCUCUCUUUUUGACUUUCUCCCCCUACCUUCUAGAGGGGUGCCUGUCAGCAUAACUCAGUCCGUCACCU